rnacentral:rRNA from 1 species
UACGAAGGGGGCUAGCGUUGUUCGGAAUUACUGGGCGUAAAGCGCGCGUAGGCGGACCUGCAAGUCGGGGGUGAAAGCCCGAGGCUCAACCUCGGAACUGCCUUCGAUACUGCGGGUCUCGAGUCCGGGAGAGGUGAGUGGAAUUCCUAGUGUAGAGGUGAAAUUCGUAGAUAUUAGGAAGAACACCAGUGGCGAAGGCGGCUCACUGGCCCGGUACUGACGCUGAGGCGCGAAAGCGUGGGGAGCAAACA